rnacentral:rRNA from 1 species
UACGAAGGGGGCUAGCGUUGCUCGGAAUCACUGGGCGUAAAGCGCACGUAGGCGGAUUGCUAAGUCAGGGGUGAAAUCCUGGAGCUCAACUCCAGAACUGCCUUUGAUACUGGCGACCUUGAGUCCGGGAGAGGUGAGUGGAACUGCGAGUGUAGAGGUGAAAUUCGUAGAUAUUCGCAAGAACACCAGUGGCGAAGGCGGCUCACUGGACCGGUAUUGACGCUGAUGUGCGAAAGCGUGGGGAGCAAACAGG